GAGAAAAUUCGCAAGGAUUGC
rnacentral:tRNA from 1 species